rnacentral:rRNA from 1 species
AUUGAACGCUGGCGGCAGGCCUAACACAUGCAAGUCGAGCGGAUGAAGGGAGCUUGCUCCUGGAUUCAGCGGCGGACGGGUGAGUAAUGCCUAGGAAUCUGCCUGGUAGUGGGGGAUAACGUCCGGAAACGGGCGCUAAUACCGCAUACGUCCUGAGGGAGAAAGUGGGGGAUCUUCGGACCUCACGCUAUCAGAUGAUCCUAGGUCGGAUUAGCUAGUUGGUGGGGUAAAGGCCUACCAAGGCGACGAUCCGUAACUGGUCUGAGAGGAUGAUCAGUCACACUGGAGCUGAGACACGGUCCAGACUCCUACGGGAGGCAGCAGUGGGGAAUAUUGGACAAUGGGCGAAAGCCUGAUCCAGCCAUGCCGCGGGUGUGAAGAAGGUCUUCGGAUGGUAAAGCGCUGUAAGUUGGGAGGAAGGGCAGUAAGUUAAUACCUUGCUGUUUUGACGUUACCAACAGAAUAAGCACCGGCUAACUUCGUG